rnacentral:rRNA from 1 species
GUGGGGAAUCUUAGACAAUGGGGGAAACCCUGAUCUAGCCAUGCCGCGUGAGCGAUGAAGGCCUUAGGGUUGUAAAGCUCUUUCAGCUGGGAAGAUAAUGACGGUACCAGCAGAAGAAGCCCCGGCUAACUCCGUGCCAGCAGCCGCGGUAAUACGGAGGGGGCUAGCGUUGUUCGGAAUUACUGGGCGUAAAGCGCGCGUAGGCGGACCAGAAAGUUGGAGGUGAAAUCCCAGGGCUCAACCUUGGAACUGCCUUCAAAACUCCUGGUCUGGAGUUCGAGAGAGGUGAGUGGAAUUCCGAGUGUAGAGGUGAAAUUCGUAGAUAUUCGGAGGAACACCAGUGGCGAAGGCGGCUCACUGGCUCGAUACUGACGCUGAGGUGCGAAAGCUAGGGCAGCGAACGGGAUUAGAAACCCCUGUAGUCC